CCUACGGGAGGCAGCAGUGGGGAAUUUUGGACAAUGGGCACAAGCCUGAUCCAGCAAUGCCGCGUGCAGGAUGAAGGCCUUCGGGUUGUAAACUGCUUUUGUACGGAACGAAACGGUGAGCUCUAAUACAGUUUGCUAAUGACGGUACCGUAAGAAUAAGCACCGGCUAACUACGUGCCAGCAGCCGCGGUAAUACGUAGGGUGCGAGCGUUAAUCGGAAUUACUGGGCGUAAAGCGUGCGCAGGCGGUGAUGUAAGACAGAUGUGAAAUGCCCGGGCUCAACCUGGGACCUGCAUUUGUGACUGCAUCGCUAGAGUACGGUAGAGGGGGAUGGAAUUCCGCGUGUAGCAGUGAAAUGCGUAGAUAUGCGGAGGAACACCGAUGGCGAAGGCAAUCCCCUGGACCUGUACUGACGCUCAUGCACGAAAGCGUGGGGAGCAAACAGGAUUAGAUACCCUGGUAGUCCACGCCCUAAACGAUGUCAACUGGUUGUUGGGUCUUCGACUGACUCAGUACGAAGCUAACGCGUGAAGUUGACCGCCUGGGGAGUACGGCCGCAAGGUUGAAACGUUAAAGGAAUUGAGGCUGAGACGNGCGAGGACGACGACGAGGGGAGGAGG
rnacentral:rRNA from 1 species